UACGAAGGGGGCUAGCGUUGUUCGGAAUUAUUGGGCGUAAAGGGCGCGUAGGCGGCUUUUCAAGUGGCGGGUGAAAUCCCUCGGCUUAACCGAGGAACUGCCUGCCAGACUGGAAGGCUUGAGACCGGGAGAGGUGAGUGGAAUUCCCAGUGUAGCGGUGAAAUGCGUAGAUAUUGGGAGGAACACCAGUGGCGAAGGCGGCUCACUGGACCGGAACUGACGCUGAGGCGCGAAAGCGUGGGGAGCAAACAGG
rnacentral:rRNA from 1 species